GCUCCGGUGGCCUAGUGGUUAGAGAAUCCGCCUCGGAUGCAGUAGCUCGUGGGUUCGAACCCCGGUCGAAUCA